rnacentral:lncRNA from 1 species
GAUAUGAAAUUAAAAAUAAUUCUGAAAAAAAUGGUAAAAUUGUAAAUAAAGGGAGUGUUUUUGAAAAGAAAUUUAAAAACAUAUGGUAAAAUCGCAAAAAGAAAAAGUUUGGCCACGUGGGACGACCCGAUCAACAACCACGACGAGUCAGAACGCGCCGCAAGGUAGACACACUGACAUCGGCUCCAUGCGAGAGGCCACGUGGGUGAUCCGCGUGUUUGGACGAUCCGACGGUCUAGAUCGCAUCCCGUGCACAUGAACGAUCCAAAUACAUUCUCUAUUCAGACGC